rnacentral:rRNA from 1 species
CUGCCCGGUGCUCGAAGGUUAAUUGAUGGGGUUAGCAUUAGCGAAGCUCUUGAUCGAAGCCCGAGUAAACGGCGGCCGUAACUAUAACGGUCCUAAGGUAGCGAAAUUCCUUGUCGGUUAAAUACCGACCUGCAUGAAUGGCGUAACGAGAUGGGAGCUGUCUCAAAGAGGGAUCCAGUGAAAUUGUAGUGGAGGUGAAAAUUCCUCCUACCCGCGGCAAGACGGAAAGACCCCGUGGACCUUUACUACAGCUUGACACUGCUAUUUGGAUAAGAAUGUGCAGGAUAGGUGGGAGGCUUUGAGUAUAUGACGCCAGUUGUAUAUGAGCCAUUGUUGAGAUACCACUCUUUCUUAUUUGGGUAGCUAACCAGCUUGAGUUAUCCUCAAGUGGGACAAUGUCUGGUGGGUAGUUUGACUGGGGCGGUCGCCUCCCAAAUAAUAACGGAGGCUU